rnacentral:rRNA from 1 species
UACAGAGGGGGCAAGCGUUGUCCGGAUUGACUGGGCGUAAAGCGCACGCAGGCGGUCUGUUAAGUUUGGAGUGACAGUUGGUGGCUUAACUGCCAAAGUGCUUCGAAAACUGACAGACUUGAGGGCUUCAGAGGGACACGGAAUUCCGGGUGGAGUGGUGAAAUGCGUAGAGAUCCGGAGGAACACCAAAGGCGAAGGCAGUGUCCUGGGGAGUACCUGACGCUCAGGUGCGAAAGCCAGGGGAGCGAACGGG